UAUUAUACUAAUAAAUAUAUAUAAACCUAAAUUAUUAAUAGAUACAUUCUUUAAAUUUGAAGAAUUUGGCGGUGAUUUAGUCCUGUUAGAGGAACCUGUUUUUGAAUCGAUACACCACGUGUAAUUUUACUUACUUUAUUUAGUUUGUAUACCGUCAUUAUCAGAUAAUUUUUAAAAAAAUAGUUGUUGAAAUUUAUACACGAUAAAUAAAAUUAGAUCAAGGUGCAGCUUAUGAGUAAGUUAAAAUGGGUUACAAUAAAAUUUAUUUACAUGGAGUGAUGAUAAGAAAAUUGUGUCAUGAAGGCGGAUUUAAUUGUAAUAUGAGUUUAACAAGUUUAUAAGAUAUAGGCUCUAAAUCAU
rnacentral:rRNA from 1 species